rnacentral:piRNA from 1 species
UUCAGAGCUGUAUUAGAGCAACCUCGAUUA